rnacentral:lncRNA from 1 species
CUGAAACUCACAUUUAACUGGGAUUUUAUAUUUUACUAGAAUCACACUGGGGGAGAUAGGUGAAGAAGGCUAAGAAAGUCCAGGGCAGAAAGAGGAGGAAAGGACUUAAAAAAAAAUUUUUUUUUUUGUUCCUUUCAGGUUGGAAAAAGAAACAUAAGCAGUGUCUGCUAUUGCUGUUCAUUGCUGUGAUCCCUCAGGGUUCUGGAAUUGUCUGCUUCCUGAAGAGCCUGCCGCUCACUGGCUCAAGCUGUCCCGAUGCCCAAGGGGAUGUCCCAGGUUUGCAGAUGUGCUGUUAGCAUCUUCCCUGGAAAUCACAGAACUUCAGGAAUGAAUGGCCUGCUCCUCUUCAUGCUGCCCCUACCUGUUGAUUCAGACGGAUCCUCACUCCACUCUGAGAUGAGGAGAAACGGAAGCCAGCCUUACGCUUUACUCUCCCCUCCCUGAGAAGACAGACUGUACUCAUUGUUGAGGUUGUAUAAGGGUUUGUACCUCUAACAAAGACAUGAAACAGACAAGCCAUAAGAAGCCUUCGUCCUCAACCCCACUGACUCGUCUUUUCCGCUUAGACCCCCUCAGGAAGGAGAAAAGCUAGCUGAGGAAUAAUAGUGGGGUUUUGGAGACGUGAAGGCUGAGGUUGCAUGCAGUGCUGUUUAGGGGGCCUUUCCUCACAGAAGUGGAAAACCCAGACUUGAUUGUCUCCCGGGCCUUUGCUCACCGGAGCGGAUGGGAGUGAAGGAGUGAGGAGGGAGAGAAGCUGAGGCAGGGGAUGUUCAUGGGCUGGUGUUAGGGAUGACCCUUUCUAGCGCUUUCCCUCUUUCCCUUCCCCUUUGCUGCUAGUCCUGCCCCCUAGUGGGUGUAGGCUGAAGGGGCAGGCAGGGCUCCCAGACAAGGCACAGUGUGCCCCAGGGAGAGGGCCACACAAGGACAGAAGCAAUGGAAAUUUCAGAGGCUAGCAAUCUGGGAGGAGAGAGAGAGUUCCUUCUAGAACUCAGCGGGGGAGACAGAGGAACUUGAUGAUCAUUGCAGUUAUUGCCUAAGGGAUAGGUGGAAGAUUGGCCUGGCUGCCUCGGUGACUAAAAAUAUCGGUCACUGCCUGGACAUGCAUUGCUCACAGACUUGGGUGAGAACUAGAAGGGGAGGACGAUGAUGAAAAUAAGGACGAGGAUGGCUGCCUCUCCUUGAGUUUUCUGAGCGCCAGGCAGCCAGCCAGCUGGAUCCACGAGAGGCUUCCCCUGCCAGCCUCUUCGCCGCUCUGGGUGGUGGACGUUGUUGUUGUUACUUUCCAGAUGAGACAGUUGAGGCUCAGGGAUCCAAAUGAGCUUGCCUAAGGCCAUGGGCUAGUCAGUGCAAGGACAGACCCCACCUCCCCCAGACUGUCUCAAAGACGCACGCAGUGUCCUGCUACCUCAUUCAACAGCCCCUCACGAUGCACCAACGGUAAGCC